UGGGGAAUAUUGGACAAUGGGGGCAACCCUGAUCCAGCGAUGCCGCGUGUGCGAAGAAGGCCUGCGGGUUGUAAAGCACUUUGGUUGGGGAAGAAAAGCGCUUAUCGAAUAGAUAAGUGAGUUGACGUUACCCAAGAAACAAGCACCGGCUAACUCUGUGCCAGCAGCCGCGGUAAUACAGAGGGUGCGAGCGUUAAUCGGAAUUACUGGGCGUAAAGGGCGCGUAGGCGGUUAUAUAAGUUAGAUGUGAAAUCCCCGGGCUUAACCUGGGAACUGCAUUUAAUACUGUAUGGCUAGAGUAGAAUAGAGGGAAGUGGAAUUUCCAGUGUAGCGGUGAAAUGCGUAGAUAUUGGAAAGAACACCAGUGGCGAAGGCGGCUUCCUGGAUUCAUACUGACGCU
rnacentral:rRNA from 1 species